rnacentral:rRNA from 1 species
UGGGGGAUAUUGCACAAUGGGCGAAAGCCUGAUGCAGCGACGCCGCGUGGGGGAUGAAGGCCUUCGGGUUGUAAACUUCUUUUGCUCUGAACAAGGCGCACCAUGGGGUGUGUUGAGUGUAGGGGUUGAUUAGCGCCGGCUAACUACGUGCCAGCAGCCGCGGUAAUACGUAGGGCGCGAGCGUUGUCCGGAAUUAUUGGGCGUAAAGGGCUUGUAGGUGGCUGGUUGCGUCUGUCGUGAAAGCUCAUGGCUUAACUGUGGGUUUGCGGUGGGUACGGGCGGGCUUGAGUGCAGUAGGGGAGGCUGGAAUUCCUGGUGUAGCGGUGGAAUGCGCAGAUAUCAAGAGGAAUACCGGUGGCGAAGGCGGGUCUCUGGGCUGUUACUGACACUGAGGAGCGAAAGCAUGGGGAGCGAACAGG